rnacentral:rRNA from 1 species
UGUAGGCUGGUUUUCCAGGCAAAUCCGGAAAACCAAGGCUGAGGCGUGAUGACGAGGCACUACGGUGCUGAAGCGACAAAUGCCCUGCUUCCAGGAAAAGCCUCUAAGCAUCAGGUAACAUCAAAUCGUACCCCAAACCGACACAGGUGGUCAGGUAGAGAAUACCAAGGCGCUUGAGAGAACUCGGGUGAAGGAACUAGGCAAAAUGGUGCCGUAACUUCGGGAGAAGGCACGCUGAUAUGUAGGUGAAGCGACUUGCUCGUGGAGCUGAAAUCAGUCGAAGAUACCAGCUGGCUGCAACUGUUUAUUAAAAACACAGCACUGUGCAAACACGAAAGUGGACGUAUACGGUGUGACGCCUGCCCGGUGCCGGAAGGUUAAUUGAUGGGGUUAGCGGCAACGCGAAGCUCUUGAUCGAAGCCCCGGUAAACGGCGGCCGUAACUAUAACGGUCCUAAGGUAGCGAAAUUCCUUGUCGGGUAAGUUCCGACCUGCACGAAUGGCGUAAUGAUGGCCAGGCUGUCUCCACCCGAGACUCAGUGAAAUUGAACUCGCUGUGAAGAUGCAGUGUACCCGCGGCAAGACGGAAAGACCCCGUGAACCUUUACUAUAGCUUGACACUGAACAUUGAGCCUUGAUGUGUAGGAUAGGUGGGAGGCUUUGAAGUGUGGACGCCAGUCUGCAUGGAGCCGACCUUGAAAUACCACCCUUUAAUGUUUGAUGUUCUAACGUUGGCCCGUAAUCCGGGUUGCGGACAGUGUCUGGUGGGUAGUUUGACUGGGGCGGUCUCCUCCUAAAGAGUAACGGAGGAGCACGAAGGUUGGCUAAUCCUGGUCGGACAUCAGGAGGUUAGUGCAAUGGCAUAAGCCAGCUUGACUGCGAGCGUGACGGCGCGAGCAGGUGCGAAAGCAGGUCAUAGUGAUCCGGUGGUUCUGAAUGGAAGGGCCAUCGCUCAACGGAUAAAAGGUACUCCGGGGAUAACAGGCUGAUACCGCCCAAGAGUUCAUAUCGACGGCGGUGUUUGGCACCUCGAUGUCGGCUCAUCACAUCCUGGGGCUGAAGUAGGUCCCAAGGGUAUGGCUGUUCGCCAUUUAAAGUGGUACGCGAGCUGGGUUUAGAACGUCGUGAGACAGUUCGGUCCCUAUCUGCCGUGGGCGCUGGAGAACUGAGGGGGGCUGCUCCUAGUACGAGAGGACCGGAGUGGACGCAUCACUGGUGUUCGGGUUGUCAUGCCAAUGGCACUGCCCGGUAGCUAAAUGCGGAAGAGAUAAGUGCUGAAAGCAUCUAAGCACGAAACUUGC